AUUGAACGCUGGCGGCAGGCCUAACACAUGCAAGUCGAACGAGUGGCGGACGGGUGAGUAAUGUCUGGGAAACUGCCUGAUGGAGGGGGAUAACUACUGGAAACGGUAGCUAAUACCGCAUACCAUCGGAUGUGCCCAGAUGGGAUUAGCUAGUAGGUGGGGUAACGGCUCACCUAGGCGACGAUCCCUAGCUGGUCUGAGAGGAUGACAAGCCAAAAGGGAAAUGAGAAACGGGCCAGACUCCUACGGGGGGCAGCAGGGGGGAAUAUUGAACAAUGGGCGAAAGCGUGAUGCAGCCAUGCGGGGUGUAUGAAGAAGGCCUUCGGGUUGUAAAGGACUUUCAGCGGGGAGGCGUUACCCGCAGAAGAAGCACCGGCUAACUCCGUGCCAGCAGCCGCGGUAAUU
rnacentral:rRNA from 1 species